GCAACUCGACUGCACGAAGCUGGAAUCGCUAGUAAUCGCGGAUCAGCACGCCGCGGUGAAUACGUUCCCGGGCCUUGUACACACCGCCCGUCACACCAUGAGAGUCUGUAACACCCAAAGCCGGUGGGAUAACCUUUAUAGGAGUCAGCCGUCUAAGGUAGGACAGAUGAUUAGGGUGAAGUCGUAACAAGGUAGC
rnacentral:rRNA from 1 species